GGAGGGUGCGAGCGUUGUCCGGAUUUACUGGGCGUAAAGAGCGCGCAGGCGGUCGUGCAAGUCGCGUGUGAAAGCCCCCGGCUCAACUGGGGAGGGUCACGCGAUACUGCUCGACUUGAAGGCAGGAGAGGGAAGCGGAAUUCCCGGUGUAGUGGUGAAAUGCGUAGAUAUCGGGAGGAACACCAGUGGCGAAGGCGGCUUCCUGGCCUGUUCUUGACGCUGAGGCGCGAAAGCUAGGGUAGCAAACGGGAUUAGAUACCCCGGUAGUCCUAGCCGUAAACGAUGGACACUAGGUGUUGGUGGUAUCAACCCCGCCAGUGCCGUAGCUAACGCAUUAAGUGUCCCGCCUGGGGAGUACGGCCGCAAGGCUA
rnacentral:rRNA from 1 species